CGGCCUCAGACCAUUUAUUGGGGUGAUUCGGGGGGGGGGGGUUAAAACGGGGGGUGUUAAUCCUCCCCCCCCCCCAUAAGGCACUUUAUUCGGGGGGAUGGGGUUAAUGCUGGUGAUGGGGGGGGCCCUGAGGACUCUCAGUAUCUCCCAGUUGCAGUCCCGUGGUCCCCAGUAGCUCCCAGUUGUCCCCAGUAGUCUCCCAGACACCCCCCCCCCCCAGUAGGCACUUGGUUGCUUCCCAGUGACUCCCAGUUCCACCCAGUAACUCCCUGGGACUGCUCCGUGCCACCCAGACCUCUCCCAGUAGCCCCCAGUGACCCCCUACAAGCCUCCCAGUGACCCCCCCCAACUUUCCCGAUAGCCCCCCAACAGCCCAGCAGUCUCCCAGUGUCACCCAGUAGCCCCCAGUCACUGCCAGUGCCCCCUAAACCCCCCCCCGUUGCCCCUAGAAGUCUCCCAGUAGCCUCCCAGUAGCCCUCCAGUAACCUCUAGCACCCCUCGGUCCCCCCAGUGCUCCCUAAAAGCCUCCCAUUUGCCCCUAGAGGUCUCCCAGUAGCCUCCCAGUGACUCCCAGUAGCCCCCAGUGACCCCCUACAAGCCUCCCAGUGACCCCCCCCGAAUUUUCCCGAUAGCCCCCCAACAGCCCAGCAGUCUCCCAGUGUCACCCAGUAGCCCCCAGUCACUGCCAGUGCCCCCUAAAAACCCCCCAGUUGCCCCUAGAAGUCUCCCAGUAGCCCUCCAGUAACCUCUAGCACACCUCGGCCCCCCCAGUGCUCCCUAAAAGCCUCCCAGUUGCCCCUAGAGGUCUCCCAGUAGCCUCCCAGUGACUCCCAGUAGCCCUCCAGUAACCUCUAGCACCCCUCAGCCCCCCCAGCGCCCCCUAAAAGCCUCCCAGUGCUUCCCCAUAGGCCUCCAGUUCCCCCCCUAAACCCUCCCAGUAGUCCCCCAGUCCCCCCAUAGAACCCUCCCAGUGCCUCCCACUUAGGAGGAGGGGAACUGGCUGAGGAAGGCACUGAAGUCCAGGUCCCCCAGGGAGGGCAGCGAGUCCUCGGG
rnacentral:lncRNA from 1 species